UCCAAAAAGCGCCUAGGUUACUCGUUAAGAGACAGAUUGACAGAUAACCUUGGUGGCCACUGGCCAAAUACGCCCUGCAUCCGGGAUACAUAUAUAGUAUGCAAAAAAUAGUAUGUAAAAUGAGUAUGUCUGAAACCUCAGUAUAAAAAACAGUAUGCGAGAAAAAUCCUUUCUACCCUUAAUAAAAGUGCUCAAUAAUUCUCAGUAUGCUUCGGAUGGAUGCUUUUUCUAUGGAGGGUGCAGAGGAGCUGAUAGCAGUAGCUAAUUGAUACAGGGAACGCACCGAUGGGAUCCAGGGCAGGGGAGCGCUGCCGUUGUCCGCAUGUUAAGAAGUUAGUUUUUUUUGUUUAGUCAAAAUACUCAAUAUUUGUUGGGCAAUAAAAUGUACUAACCGACGAGGGGACACGCCUGGGCUUCUACAGAAUUUCGUCAGAGAAGAAGAUCACACUUGUAUUUACAGUGACCACUUCAUCAAAGCCAAAGGGCUGCUGGUUUUCACGCAUGCUGAUGAAGUUGGGCGGGACCAUGCUGGCUGGGGCGGGAGACUGUUGGCAGUUUGGGGGAGGAGUAUGAGGUAAGUGAAGGAAAUGCAAGCAAACAAAUUAAGACCACAGGGCUCCAAAAGUGUUUAGAGUGAGAUCGGAGUGAGUCCAACAGCUAACCGAAAGAGUUAAGCCUCUGUUAGAAACAUCAACCCCUUCCCCCAAAACUGUGUCCCAAAUGCAGGCAAAAGCUGAUUGAGCGUGUGGAGAUUCUGCUUUAGCUAAUAGGCUGAACCAAAGUAGGGCAGCUGCCGUGCUGAUGUGUCUGCCAGCUUCAGACAGACG